GACGUAGGGUGCAAGCGUUGUCCGGAUUUACUGGGCGUAAAGGGCGCGUAGGCGGCUCGUUAAGUGUGAAGUGAAAUCCCGAGGGCUCAACCCCGGAACUGCUUUACAUACUGGCGAGCUUGAGGAUUGGAGAGGCUUGUGGAAUUCCUGGUGUAGCGGUGAAAUGCGUUGAUAUCAGGAGGAACACCCAUGGCGAAGGCAGCAAGCUGGCCAAUAUCUGACGCUGAGGCGCGAAAGCGUGGGUAGCAAACAGG
rnacentral:rRNA from 1 species